rnacentral:sRNA from 1 species
GCCGGGCGUUGUGGCGGGCGCCUGUGGUCCCAGCUACUUGGGAGGCGGAGGCAGAAGACUCGCUUGAGCCCAGGAGUUGGAGGUUGCUGUGAGCUGUAAUGCCACAGCACUCCACCCAGGGGGACAGCUUGAGGCUCUGUCUCAAGAAAAAAAAAAUGCAUUUGUUUUGGGAAUAUCCUUUUUUUUAGAGACAGAGUCUCACUUGACCAUCCUUGGUAGAGUGCCACGGCAUCACAGCUCACAGCAACCUCCAACUCCUGGGCUUAGGUGAUCCUCUUCC